rfam:Rhizoclosmatium globosum strain JEL800 BCR33scaffold_14, whole genome shotgun sequence.
UCCCAGAUAGUAUAGUGGCUAGUAUCCGCCCCUGUCACGGGCGAGACCGGGGUUCAAUUCCCCGUCUGGGAG